GGUUACUGCUAUCGGGGUUCGAUUAAGCCAUGCAAGUUAAAUGUUUUUCGUAAACAUAGCGAACUGCUCAGUAACACGUGGACAACUUAACCUUAGGUCUGGCAUAGCCCCGGGAAACUGGGGAUAAUUCCGGAUUAAGCCAAAGAUGCUGGAAUGCCCUUUGGCUAAAAGCUUUUGCGCCUAAGGAUAGGUCUGCGGUCUAUCAGGUAGUAGUGGGUGUAACGUACCUACUAGCCGACGACGGAUACGGGUUGUGAGAGCAAGAGCCCGGAGAUGGAUUCUGAGACACGAAUCCAGGCCCUACGGGGUGCAGCAGGCGCGAACACUUUACAAUGCGGGAAACCGCGAUAAGGGAACCCCGAGUGCCAGUACUAAGUGCUGGCUGUCUGGAUGAUUAGAACUCAUUUAAUAGCAAGGGCCGGGCAAGACCGGUGCCAGCCGCCGCGGUAACACCGGCGGCCCGAGUGGUAACCGAUAUUAUUGGGUCUAAAGGGUCCGUAGCCUGUUUAAUAAGUCCUUUGGGAAAUCUGGCAGCUUAACUGUCAGGCUGCUAAAGGAUACUGUUAAACUUGGGACCGGGAGACGUGGGGGGUACUCCAGGGGUAGGAGUGAAAUCUUGUAAUCCCUGGGGGACCAUCUGUGGCGAAGGCGCCCUACGAGAACGGGUCCGACGGUGAGGGACGAAAGCUAGGGGAGCAAACCGGAUUAGAUACCCGGGUAGUCCUAGCUGUAAACGAUGCUCGCUAGGUGUCCGGCACGGUGCGUCCGUGUCUGGUGCCGCAGGGAAGCCGUUAAGCGAGCCACCUGGGAAGUACGGUCGCAAGGCUGAAACUUAAAGGAAUUGGCGGGGGAGCACUACAACGGGUGGAGCCUGCGGUUU
rnacentral:rRNA from 1 species